GGGCCCGCACAAGCGGUGGAGCAUGUGGUUUAAUUCGAUGAUACGCGAGGAACCUUACCAGGGCUUAAAUGUAGUAUGACCGGUCUGGAAACAGACCUUCUCUUCGGAGCAGAUUACAAGGUGCUGCAUGGUUGUCGUCAGCUCGUGCCGUGAGGUGUUAGGUUAAGUCCUGCAACGAGCGCAACCCCUAUUCUUAGUUGCCAGCGGUUCGGCCGGGGACUCUAAGAAGACUGCCAGCGCAAGCUGAGAGGAAGGUGGGGAUGACGUCAAAUCAUCACGGCCCUUACGUCCUGGGCUACACACGUGCUACAAUGGUAUAGACAGAGGGCAGCCACCUGGCGACAGGGAG
rnacentral:rRNA from 1 species